rnacentral:rRNA from 1 species
GACCUCAAAUCAGGUAGGAUACCCGCUGAACUUAAGCAUAUCAAUAAGCG